AAUACACCUUUAAAAAUAAAUAAUAUUGCUAUCGCAAAAAAGUCUAACCUAUUCCGGUGUUCUCUUCCUCAUGAGACAAGCCGUUACAUAGGCUCAAACAGU